rnacentral:rRNA from 1 species
GAUGAACGCUAGCUACAGGCUUAACACAUGCAAGUCGAGGGCAGCACAGUGUAGCAAUACGACGGUGGCGACGGCGCACGGGUGCGUAACGCGUAUCCAACCUUCCGUUAUCAGGGAUAGCCUUCCGAAAGGGAGAUUAAUACCUGAUGGUGUUGAAAUUCCGCAUGUUAUUUCAACUAAAGAUUUUAUCGGUAACGGAUAGGGAUGCGUGACAUUAGAUAGUAGGCGGGGUAACGGCCCACCUAGUCUACGAUGUCUAGGGGGUUCUGAGAGGAAGGUCCCCCACACUGGUACUGAGAUACGGACCAGACUCCUACGGGAGGCAGCAGUGAGGAAUAUUGGUCAAUGGUCGGAAGACUGAACCAGCCAUGCCGCGUGCAGGAAGAAUGUCUUAUGGAUUGUAAACUGCUUUUGUAUGGGGCUAAUAAUAACUUUGCGAAGUUAGAUGCAGGUACCAUACGAAUAAGGAUCGGCUAACUCCGUG